rnacentral:misc_RNA from 1 species
GGAAGGAUCAUUAAUGAAUAACUAUGGUGUUGGUUGUUGCUGGCUUCUAGGAGCAUGUGCACGCCCACCAUUCUUAUCUGUCCACCUGUGAACACUAUGUAGGUCUGGAUAACUCUCGCUUUCGGGCGGAUACAGGGAUUGUCACUUGCGGCUCUCCUUGAAUUUCCAGAUCUAUGUAUUUACAUACCCCAUUUGAAUGUUGAAGAAUGCAGUCAAUGGGCUUUAAGCCUAUAAAACAAUAUACAACUUUCAGCAACGGAUCUCUUGGCUCUCGCAUCGAUGAAGAACGCAGCGAAAUGCGAUAAGUAAUGUGAAUUGCAGAAUUCAGUGAAUCAUCGAAUCUUUGAACGCACCUUGCGCUCCUUGGUAUUCCGAGGAGCAUGCCUGUUUGAGUGUCAUUAAAUUCUCAACUUCAUCAUUUUUGUUGAAGCUUGGAUGUGGGGGUUGUGCAGAACACUUUGGUGGUCUGCUCCCCUUAAAUGAAUUAGCGAGUUCAAACUGAGCCCCGUCUAUUGGUGUGAUAAUUAUCUACGCUGUGGAUUGGACUUAGACUUGCUUCUAAACUGUCCGCAAGGACAAUUCUUGACAAUUUGACCUCAAAUCAGGUAGGACUACCCGCUGAACUUAAGCAUAUCAAUAAGCGGAGGAAAAGAAACUAACAAGGAUUCCCCUAGUAACUGCGAGUGAAGCGGGAAAAGCUCAAAUUUAAAAUCUGGUGGUCUUUGGCCAUCCGAGUUGUAAUCUAGAGAAGUGUUACCCGCGUCGGACCGUGUACAAGUCUCCUGGAAUGGAGCGUCAUAGAGGGUGAGAAUCCCGUCUUUGACACGGACUACCGAGGCUUUGUGGUGCGCUCUCAAAGAGUCGAGUUGUUUGGGAAUGCAGCUCAAAAUGGGUGGUAAAUUCCAUCUAAAGCUAAAUAUUGGCGAGAGACCGAUAGCGAACAAGUACCGUGAGGGAAAGAUGAAAAGAACUUUGGAAAGAGAGUUAAACAGUACGUGAAAUUGCUGAAAGGGAAACGCUUGAAGUCAGUCGCGUUGGCCGGAAAUCAGCCUUGCUUUUUGCUUGGUGUACUUUCUGGUUGACGGGCCAGCAUCAGUUUUGACCGGUGGAAAAAGUCUAGAGGAAGGUGGCAUCUUCGGAUGUGUUAUAGCCUCUGGUUGUAUACAUCGGUUGGGACUGAGGAACUCAGCACGCCGCAAGGCCGGGUCUUUGACCACGUUCGUGCUUAGGAUGCUGGCAUAAUGGCUUUAAUCGACCCGUCUUGAAACACGGACCAAGGAGUCUAACAUGCCUGCGAGUGUUUGGGUGGAAAACCCGAGCGCGUAAUGAAAGUGAAAGUUGAGAUCCCUGUCAUGGGGAGCAUCGACGCCCGGACCAGAAGUUUUCUGACGGCCCUGCGGUAGAGCAUGUAUGUUGGGACCCGAAAGAUGGUGAACUAUGCCUGAAUAGGGUGAAGCCAGAGGAAACUCUGGUGGAGGCUCGUAGCGAUUCUGACGUGCAAAUCGAUCGUCAAAUUUGGGUAUAGGGGCGAAAGACUAAUCGAACCAUCUAGUAGCUGGUUCCUGC